rnacentral:rRNA from 1 species
AUGGAAACACCACCUAUUCCACCCGAAGUUGCUGAACUCUUGGAACAAUAUGCGGUGCUUUUUGAGGAACCCAACAGCCUGCCUCCUCAACGCUCGUUCGACCACGCCAUUCCACUGGUGCCUGGACCUCGGCCAGUUAACCUCAGACCAUACAGGCACAACCCAGCGCAGAAGGACGAAGUGGAACGUCAGGUCUCAGAAAUUCUCGCCCAGGGGAUAAUCCAACCCAGCUCCAGCCCGUUCGCAUCUCCGGUUCUUUUGGUGUAG